CUAGUAACUGCGAGUGAAGCGGGAAAAGCUCAAAUUUAAAAUCUGGCGGUCUUUGGCCGUCCGAGUUGUAGUCUGGAGAAGUGCUUUCCGCGCUGGACCGUGUAUAAGUCUCUUGGAACAGAGCGUCAUAGAGGGUGAGAAUCCCGUCUUUGACACGGACUGCCAGUGCUUUGUGAUGCGCUCUCAAAGAGUCGAGUUGUUUGGGAAUGCAGCUCAAAAUGGGUGGUGAAUUCCAUCUAAAGCUAAAUAUUGGCGAGAGACCGAUAGCGAACAAGUACCGUGAGGGAAAGAUGAAAAGCACUUUGGAAAGAGAGUUAAACAGUACGUGAAAUUGCUGAAAGGGAAACGCUUGAAGUCAGUCGCGUUGUCCGGAACUCAGCCUUGCUUUCGCUUGGUGCACUUUCCGGAUUGACGGGUCAGCAUCGAUUUUGACCGUCGGAAAAGGGCUGGAGUAAUGUGGCACCUCCGGGUGUGUUAUAGACUCUGGUCGCAUACGGCGGUUGGGAUCGAGGAACGCAGCGCGCCGUAAGGCAGGGGUUCGCCCACUUUCGCGCUUAGGAUGCUGGCAUAAUGGCUUUAAACGACCCGUCUUGAAACACGGACCAAGGAGUCUAACAUACCUGCGAGUGUUUGGGUGGAAAACCCGAGCGCGCAAUGAAAGUGAAAGUUGAGAUCCCUGUCGUGGGGAGCAUCGACGCCCGGACCUGACGUUCUCUGACGGAUCCGCGGUAGAGCAUGUAUGUUGGGACCCGAAAGAUGGUGAACUAUGCCUGAAUAGGGUGAAGCCAGAGGAAACUCUGGUGGAGGCUCGUAGCGAUUCUGACGUGCAAAUCGAUCGUCAAAUUUGGGUAUAGGGGCGAAAGACUAAUCGAA
rnacentral:rRNA from 1 species